AACGAACGCUGGCGGCAGGCUUAACACAUGCAAGUCGAGCGCCCCGCAAGGGGAGCGGCAGACGGGUGAGUAACGCGUGGGAAUCUACCCAUCUCUACGGAAUAACGCAUGGAUACGUGUGCUAAUACCGUAUACGUCCUUCGGGAGAAAGAUUUAUCGGAGAUGGAUGAGCCCGCGUUGGAUUAGCUAGUUGGUGGGGUAAAGGCCUACCAAGGCGACGAUCCAUAGCUGGUCUGAGAGGAUGAUCAGCCACACUGGGACUGAGACACGGCCCAGACUCCUACGGGAGGCAGCAGUGGGGAAUAUUGGACAAUGGGCGCAAGCCUGAUCCAGCCAUGCCGCGUGAGUGAUGAAGGCCCUGGGGUUGUAAAGCUCUUUCACCGGUGAAGAUAAUGACGGUAACCGGAGAAGAAGCCCCGGCUAACUUCGUGCCAGCCGCCGCGGUAACAC
rnacentral:rRNA from 1 species